rnacentral:tRNA from 1 species
GGGGUAUGAUUGGAAAUCGCAUUCGCAAUGCGAAGGUCGGGAGUUCGAUCCUCCUCCGCGCCA